AGUCUUAUGUACACAGAAUUAUUAAAGCUAAUAAGUUUUGUAUCCCUGAAUACCUGAAAGUUCAAAUAAUUUUGGUUUUUCUACCAAACACUUUUAUUUUCUGAGAGAAAGUUAUUCUGUAAUUUCUCCGUUUUUUUCCCCGUGGCGUGCUAGCCACUUAGUUAAAACAAUCAAGCCUCAACUGCAUCAUUUUUUGCAAUAGAAAUCUUUUCUAUGUUGAUAAUAUAUCCGGAUUUCAAUUCACUCAUUUCCUUUUUUGUUCUUUUUCAGGUUUCCAAAUUGUUACUUCAUUGACAACAGUGCCCACUUUAUGGAGGAAGGAGUAGUAAAGAGAUGGUUACUGUCACGGGAUGGACUACACUUGACGCCUAAUGGUAUUAAAAAUUUAUUAGUUAGUAUGCUUUCCUCUCUUGUCAUGACUCAGUCAUCUGUAUUCACCCCACCUCCUCCCCUCCUUCAGCCUUCUGGUCGUUACCACAAUCUGCAUUGACCACCACACCCGCAGCACCACAUUCCAUUACAGUUCCUCCUCGCGGUUUCUCGUACCGAGAUGCACUCCUUUUGUCUCCUGCUUUGACGUCGUCAAAGACCCAAAAGUCAAAAACCUCUCUGCCCCAGCCUUCUUUAGCCACCACUGGAUACUCUAAACCCUUGUCUUUUCCAUUUUCACCUCCUUCUUUCUCUGUCUCAUUUUCUAGUCAGUUGAUUACGCAACCUACGCACUCUCCCACCACCCAACGUAAGUGCACUCCUUCCAGAUCUGUGUCGUCUCGUUGCUCUAUGUUACCUUCCGCUCAACCCUUGUCUAGUCAGUCUGGCACAAAGUGUGCAUACCUUCCUGCUACUCAACGAAAGCGCAAUCCUUCUAGGUGCUGCACGGCAAAUUCUUACAUUAUGAUGUUUAGAUUUUGUGAUUGGUGUACUUCGAUUAUGGUGCAAGCUUCUGUUAUCGUUCCUGUUAAACAAUUUUUGUGCUACUUAUUUUGUGUUACUGUGAUAAAACUAGUCCUAAAGAAUUUUGUGUUCCCUAUUUUUUUAUAAAACCUCAUUUUGACUAAUUGAUUGUGCUCCUGUAUCGGAAUUAGUAUAGAAAAAAAGAAAAAUGAAUAAAGUCUUUUAUAUACCAUCAAAUAAAGUGUCUUCUUGUCUUUAUUUUCAUCUUAUACCGCCCACACAUUUUGAUAUUCCCUAUAGAACAAUAUUUGGACAUGAGUACGCAAAGAAAUCAAUCUAUGUCAGAAAUUUGUAGCAAAAAAUUAUUUUGUGUCAGUAGGUCCAUUUCCUCAGGAGGCAAACUAU
rnacentral:lncRNA from 1 species